CAUACACCUAGACCAUGGAGGACUCGCCAAUUUACUAGCCAACCUACGACGAGAACUAAAGCCUCACCUCACUAAACUCUUUCUUCAUGCUUUGGGAUCUCCAUAGAGCUAAAACACCACUCUCUCUCAUCCAUUCUGAAACUCAAGUGAAGGAAAAAGUUCUAACUCCUAAGGAAACCCUCAAAUUCUCAUUGUUUCAGAUGCCAGAUUCCUCAUCGAACCAAGGGAGGCUAGACCAUAAGCAACCUUUUAGUAAAAGCUCAUUGUAGAGGUGACAACAUGCUUGGGCAAGAUGGUAACACUCCUGGGUCAAAGGCGUGGCCCCAUAGUUGGCAAAAUCUAGAGGAUGUCGUGGUCAAGGAUGGUGCGUGAAGCCAGGUGUCACUCAUUACAAAGUCAUAUGCACUAUCAUUAUCCACGGUGUGGCAAAAGGAGUUAAGGUGUGUGUACGACCAUGAGAAAGGGGAGACCGUAAUGCAUGCACACGUUAAUAAAUGGAAAUGGUUGGUAAGAUGGAUUAAUGCUGUUAGAUGGACUUGGGGUCCACUGUUGAUGGUUUUCACGCUAAGUCUUGGACUUGGGGUCUAAGAAAUGUAUAAUUUUGAUGCUUUGGGCAAUGGGUGCUCUGUAUGAAUGGUCAUGAUAUUUUAAUUUUGAUGAUUUGGGCGUUGUACGUGUACCCUGUUUGACUCAGGUGCAUCCCGGUCAUUUGUAUCUACCUCAUUUGUUUGAA